GAUGAACGCUAGCGGCAGGCCUAAUACAUGCAAGACGAACGGUAACUUUUGUAGCAAUACGGAAGCUAGAGUGUCGUAAGGGUGCGUAACACGUAUGCAAUCUGCCCUCAACAGGAGGAUAGCUCCCCGAAAGGGGAAUUAACACUCCGUAAUAUGUAGGUGUGGCAUCGCAUUUACAUUAAAACUGAGGUGGUUGAGGAUGAGCAUGCGCAUGAUUAGCUAGUUGGCGGGGUAAUGGCCCACCAAGGCGAUGAUCAUUAGGGGAACUGAGAGGUUGAUCCCCCACACUGGCACUGAGAUACGGGCCAGACUCCUACGGGAGGCAGCAGUAGGGAAUAUUGGACAAUGGGUGAGAGCCUGAUCCAGCCAUGCCGCGUGCAGGAAGACGGCCUUCUGGGUUGUAAACUGCUUUUAUCUGGGGAUAAAAAGCCCUUGCGAGGGACAUUGAAGGUACCAGAUGAAUAAGCCACGGCUAACUACGUG
rnacentral:rRNA from 1 species